AGCGAACGCUGGCGGCAGGCCUAACACAUGCAAGUCGAACGCACCUUCGGGUGAGUGGCGGACGGGUGAGUAACACGUGGGAACGUACCUUUUGGUUCGGGAUAACGCAGGGAAACUUGUGCUAAUACCGAAUGUGCCCUUCGGGGGAAAGAUUUAUCGCCAUUAGAGCGGCCCGCGUUAGAUUAGCUAGUUGGUGAGGU
rnacentral:rRNA from 1 species